rnacentral:rRNA from 1 species
UCCCCUCUCCAGUGAGAAUGCCCUNUAAUAUCUAGCCNNCGAUCAAGAGGAGCAGGUAUUAAGCACACUNNNNAACUAGUAGCUCAAGAUACCUUGCUUAACCACGCCCCCAAGGGAUACAGCAGUGAUAAAAAUUUAGCAAUGAACGUAAGUUUGACUAAGCUAUGCUACANNNNACNAGGGUUGGUAAAUUUCGUGCCAGCCACCGCGGUCAUACGAUUAACCCAAACUAAUAAACACCCGGCGUAAAGCGUGAUUAGAAUAUAANNGACAAAAANNNNNUAAAAUCAAAUAACAACUAAGCUGUAAAAAGUAAUAGUUGCAAACAAAAAUAAACAACGAAAGUGAUUUUAUAAUUUUCGAACUCACGAUAGCUAAGACCCAAACUGGGAUUAGAUACCCCACUAUGCUUAGCCUUAAACCUUAAUAAUUUCAUNAACAAAAUUAUUCGCCAGAGAACUACAAGCCAGAGCUUAAAACUCAAAGGACUUGGCGGUGCUUUAUACCCGCCUAGAGGAGCCUGUUCUAUAAUCGAUAAACCCCGAUAAACCUUACCACUCUUUGCCAACNUCAGCCUAUAUACCGCCAUCUUCAGCAAACCCUAAAAAGGAGCAAAAGUAAGCUCAAUCAUCACNCAUA